AUCGCUCCUUGGCCUUUUGGCUAAAAUCAAGUAUAGUAUCUGUUCUUAUCAGUUUAAUAUCUGAUACAUCCUCUAUCCAAGGACAAUAUAGUAAAUGGAUUUUUGGAGCAGAGAGAUGAAAUAGGAGAUUGCUCCAUCCACUCCAUGAAUCAACUUGGUAUUGCAGGACCUCUAGAAAUGGUGCACCUCUU
rnacentral:snRNA from 1 species